rnacentral:siRNA from 1 species
UGAGCGCGGGGCGGUGUAUAGAAC